rnacentral:rRNA from 1 species
AUUGAACGCUGGCGGCAGGCCUAACACAUGCAAGUCGAGCGGUAGCACAGAGAGCUUGCUCUCGGGUGACGAGCGGCGGACGGGUGAGUAAUGUCUGGGAAACUGCCUGAUGGAGGGGGAUAACUACUGGAAACGGUAGCUAAUACCGCAUAACGUCGCAAGACCAAAGUGGGGGACCUUCGGGCCUCAUGCCAUCAGAUGUGCCCAGAUGGGAUUAGCUAGUAGGUGGGGUAACGGCUCACCUAGGCGACGAUCCCUAGCUGGUCUGAGAGGAUGACCAGCCACACUGGAACUGAGACACGGUCCAGACUCCUACGGGAGGCAGCAGUGGGGAAUAUUGCACAAUGGGCGCAAGCCUGAUGCAGCCAUGCCGCGUGUGUGAAGAAGGCCUUCGGGUUGUAAAGCACUUUCAGCGGGGAGGAAGGCGUUAAGGUUAAUAACCUUGGCGAUUGACGUUACCCGCAGAAGAAGCACCGGCUAACUCCGUGCCAGCAGCCGCGGUAAUACGGAGGGUGCAAGCGUUAAUCGGAAUUACUGGGCGUAAAGCGCACGCGGCGGUCUGUCAGUCGGAUGUGAAAUCCCCGGGCUCAACCUGGGAACUGCAUUCGAAACUGGCAGGCUAGAGUCUUGUAGAGGGGGGUAGAAUUCCAGGUGUAGCGGUGAAAUGCGUAGAGAUCUGGAGGAAUACCGGUGGCGAAGGCGGCCCCCUGGACAAAGACUGACGCUCAGGUGCGAAAGCGUGGGGAGCAAACAGGAUUAGAUACCCUGGUAGUCCACGCCGUAAACGAUGUCGAUUUGGAGGUUGUGCCCUUGAGGCGUGGCUUCCGGAGCUAACGCGUUAAAUCGACCGCCUGGGGAGUACGGCCGCAAGGUUAAAACUCAAAUGAAUUGACGGGGGCCCGCACAAGCGGUGGAGCAUGUGGUUUAAUUCGAUGCAACGCGAAGAACCUUACCUGGUCUUGACAUCCACAGAACUUUCCAGAGAUGGAUUGGUGCCUUCGGGAACUGUGAGACAGGUGCUGCAUGGCUGUCGUCAGCUCGUGUUGUGAAAUGUUGGGUUAAGUCCCGCAACGAGCGCAACCCUUAUCCUUUGUUGCCAGCGGUUAGGCCGGGAACUCAAAGGAGACUGCCAGUGAUAAACUGGAGGAAGGUGGGGAUGACGUCAAGUCAUCAUGGCCCUUACGACCAGGGCUACACACGUGCUACAAUGGCAUAUACAAAGAGAAGCGACCUCGCGAGAGCAAGCGGACCUCAUAAAGUAUGUCGUAGUCCGGAUUGGAGUCUGCAACUCGACUCCAUGAAGUCGGAAUCGCUAGUAAUCGUAGAUCAGAAUGCUACGGUGAAUACGUUCCCGGGCCU